AUCCUGAUGAGGAGGAAUGACCUCAUGAUAGGAAGUGCGGUAUGACACUUAACAGCAGCUGUUUCACCGUAUAUCGAUCUCUUCUAUCUGCUGUUCUCAGACCCUUCAUUUCAAAUCAAAACAAACUUUGAGCUUGUUGUUGAAGGGUAGCUGAAACAGAAGUAUAGAUGCAGGCGUUUUGGGAUAAUUGGAUCAGCUGUGUGUGUGAUUUUAAAUGGGUCACUGAGGGAU